rnacentral:rRNA from 1 species
GAGAACGACCAGCCACACCGGAACUGAGACACGGUCCGGACUCCUACGGGAGGCAGCAGUGGGGAAUAUUGGACAAUGGGCGAAAGCCUGAUCCAGCGACGCCGCGUGGGUGAAGAAGGCCUGCGGGUUGUAAAGCCCUUUCGGUUGGGAAGAAAAGUGUCGACCUAACACGUCGGCACCUUGACGUAACCAACAAAAGAAGCACCGGCUAACUCUGUCCAGCAGCCGCGGUAAUACAGAGGGGCGAGCGUUAAUCGGAAUUCUGGGCGUAAAGCGCGCGUAGGCGGUUGGACAAGUCGAGUGUGAAAUCCCCGGGCUCAACCUGGGAGCUGCAUUCGAAACUGUUCGGCUAGAGUAUGGGAGAGGGAAGUGGAAUUUCAGGUGUAGCGGUGAAAUGCGUAGAUAUCUGAAGGAACAUCAGUGGCGAAAGCGACUUCCUGGACCAAUACUGACGCUCAGGUGCGAAAGCGUGGGGA